CCUACGGGAGGCUGCAGUGGGGAAUAUUGGGCAAUGGGCGCAAGCCUGACCCAGCAACGCCGCGUGAAGGAAGAAGGCUUUCGGGUUGUAAACUUCUUUUGUCAGGGACGAAGCAAGUGACGGUACCUGACGAAUAAGCCACGGCUAACUACGUGCCAGCAGCCGCGGUAAUACGUAGGUGGCAAGCGUUAUCCGGAUUUACUGGGUGUAAAGGGAGCGUAGACGGUGCGCCAAGUCUGGAGUGAAAUGCCGCAGCUUAACUGCGGAACUGCUUUGGAAACUGGCGAACUAGAGUGCGGGGGGGGUAAGCGGAAUUCCUGGUGUAGGAGUGAAAUCCGUAGAUAUUAGAAGGAACACCAAUAGCGUAGGCAGGUUACUGGGACGGUUCUGACACUAAGGCACGAAAGCGUAGGGAGCAAACGGGAUUAGAUACCCCAGUAGUC
rnacentral:rRNA from 1 species